UGCUUCCCCGGUUUCUAAGGGCAUUGGAAGGCUGUUGGAAUGGAUGGUGCUAAGGCAUUUGCCUGGGUUGGGGCCUGCAUCCGAUCGACACUGACAAUUCCUGAGAUUCCCCAACCCAGGUCUGUCUUGAAGGCAAAGAGUGAGUAUCUCGGGCCUCUGACUACUUCAG